UAGCUCAGUUGAUUAGAGCAUUGUGCUAAUAACGUAAAAAUCACGGGUUCAAUUCCUGCGGCUU
rnacentral:tRNA from 1 species